rnacentral:rRNA from 1 species
ACGGAAGGCAGCAGUAGGGAAUAUUGCACAAUGGGGGAAACCCUGAUGCAGCAACGCCACGUGUGGGAAGAAGCAUUUCGGUGUGUAAGCCACUGUCGUGAAGGAAUAAGGCUUAUUUUCGGAUAAGUUGAAUGUCCUUUGAAAGGAAGCACCGGCAAACUUCGUGCCAGCAGCCGCGGUAAUACGAGGGGUGCAAGCGUUGUUCGGAAUCACUGGGCGUAAAGGGAGCGCAGGCGGAGAUGCAAGCAGUCUGUACAAUACCGGGGCCCAACCCCGGACCUGCAGACUGGACUGUUUCUCUUGGAUAGCUCAGGGGCUGGCGGAAUUCCUGGUGUAGCGGUGGAAUGCGUAGAGAUCAGGAAGAACACCGAUGGCGAAGGCAGCCAGCUGGGGGCUUAUCGACGCUCAUGCUCGUAAGUGCGGGUAGCAAACAGGAUUAGAUACCCUGGUA